UUAUUCCAAAUGGCAUUGAUGCUGGAGGAAGAACUGCGGAGAGGGACCAUAUGGACCUCCAUUGACAUUGCCACCGUCUUUCCCAUGCAUAGGGUAGUGAUGGUAACGCCCUGGAAGAACUCCAAGUACCUAGAGAGGAACAACUUUCUAAUUGGAAAUAUCCUCAUUUGAAGUCUACAAGAAUGCUCAUUACAAGCAAUUGUAAUGCUGAUGAGAAGUUGGAGGGCUACAGGAGCUUACUGGCCUGUCCCUACUCUAAAGACUAAAGUGGGCUAAUGAAGGGGCUGCUUGGAGGAUGCAGAGGCUGAAAAUGGUAAGCAUUAGGGCAGGUCAGAGAAAGGGCUGUUUAUUUCAGGAAGAAUACAUGAUACUAAGCAUACCAUAGACAUUACGGAAAGUAAAUAAAGAGUAGAUUUAUACU
rnacentral:lncRNA from 1 species